rnacentral:rRNA from 1 species
CACUUUGUCUAUAUGGCAAAUGUGAGAUGCAGUGUAUGGAAUGUCAAAUUUCUAGUAUGAGAAAUUAAUGAUUUAAGUCCUUCUUAAAUGAGGCCAUUUACCCAUAGAGGGUGCCAGGCCCGUAUAACAUUAAUGAUUACUAGAUGACAUUUCCAAAGAGUCGUGUUGCUUGAUAGUGCAGCACUAAGUGGGUGGUAAACUCCAUCUAAAACUAAAUAUAACCAUGAGACCGAUAGCAAACAAGUACCGUGAGGGAAAGUUGAAAAGAACUCUGAAUAGAGAGUUAAAUAGUACGUGAAACUGCUUAGAGGUUAAGCCCGAUGAACCUGAAUAUCCAAUUAUAGAAAAUUCAUCACUAUGAUAUUUUAAUAUAUUAUAUAUAUUAUUAAUAUAAUAGUGUGCAUUUUUUCUAUAAAGGACAUUGUAAUCUAUUAACAUAUAAAAAAUUUAUCAUAAGAUCAUUAUGCGUAAGUUUAUUUAAAUUAUUUUGCUUUGCAAUUUAACAUAAAAUAAAUGCUCUUGAUUUGAUAAAGUGUUGAUAGAUUUAUAUAUAUAUAUAUAGUGCUUAAAUAUAUUUAUAUAUUUUAUAAUAGCAUAUUAAUAAUUUAUUUUUAUGUUUAUUAUAUGCACUUAUAUGAUUAACAAUGCGAAAGAUUCAGGAUACCUUCGGGACCCGUCUUGAAACACGGACCAAGGAGUCUAACAUAUUUGCAAGUUAUUGGGAAUUAAAAAACCUAAUAGCGAAAUUAACAUAACUAUAAUAUAAUGGGAUUAGUUUUUAGUCUAUUUUAAUUAAUAGUCUAUUAAUUCAAUCCCGGGGCGUUCUAUACAGUUAUGUAUAAUAAUAUUUUAUAUUAUUUAUACCUCUAACUAGAACGUACCUUGAGCAUAUAUGCUGUGACCCGAAAGAUGGUGAACUAUACUUGAUCAGGUUGAAGUCAGGGGAAACCCUGAUGGAAGACCGAAACAGUUCUGACGUGCAAAUCGAUUGUCAGAAUUGCAGUAU